GCCGCUCUUGUCUUCCCAUUCCCCGCGCGGACCUCGUUGAGGACAAUCCCAUCAUCCCCAGACCCCUCUGGCCCCCUCCUGCGCAGUGGGAACCGGGUUCUCAGCUCCUCCCGACCCCACCCUGGGCAGCGGCUUCACGCAAGAGUGGGCGAGGGUCGGGGGGGCGGGAGAGGGUGUCUCAGCGCCCUUGGAGUCCUCCCAUCCGCUCCUACUCCUACACCCUCACCGCAGGUCAGCGUCGUGGAGGUCUCGGUGCCCCCUCCGGGUUUUCUCCAGUAGCCCCUUCCGGGUCUCUUCCGCGGACCCCUGGCUUGGUGCACUAGGAUGGGAGGACCACAGCGCCCCCUCCUGGCUCCCCCGGAGCCCGGGUCUCCCUCCACCUUGUCUCCCACUGUCCCGCUACCGUUCUGGAGGGCACGGAGGUGGAGGGGUUCCCAACGCCUUCUCUGCGGCCGCCUCCAGUCUUCCUUACAAACGAAGGCCCACCCGCAUCUUCAAGGAGGCGUGCUUCGUGCAUGCCAGACGACCGCUGUCAGAGCCCUUUCCUCCUGGCUUGUCCCGUGUACUCCUCUGUCAGUCCCUGAAACCCCAAACCCUCUUGGCUGUUGGUCUUGACACACCCUACCCCCUCUCUGGUUUCUUUGGCCUUCCGCAGGGGAGAGGCGGGCAAGUUCUCUUCAUCUGCAGGAAGUCAGCCCUGUGGCUGCUGGAGGCUUGUGGGGGACAGUGCCCAAGACUUCUGACGGCUCCCCCAUCCUUGUCCUCUCCUUGCCCUAGGUCUGACGCCCCCUCCCCCAUGCACUAGGUCUCUAGCUGCUCCCACAGGUGGCAGAGGGGGACAGGAAGGUGCUUUUCAUGUAGGAGCAAUCACCUGGAACUCGAAGGUGGGGAUGGUGUCCGGUCACCCCUGUGGUCUCCCUCUUGUGUCCUCCCACCACGAAACCCUUUCUUUGCUAAAGGUGUAAACCUGCUACUUUCCCCAUUUCCCGUCACUGGGGGAGGCGUGCUUUAUGUGCAGGGCGGCGGCGGCGGCA